GACGAACGCUGGCGGCGUGCUUAACACAUGCAAGUCGAACGGAAAGGCCCUGCUUUUGUGGGGUGCUCGAGUGGCGAACGGGUGAGUAACACGUGAGUAACCUGCCCUUGACUUUGGGAUAACUUCAGGAAACUGGGGCUAAUACCGGAUAGGAGCUCCUGCUGCAUGGUGGGGGUUGGAAAGUUUCGGCGGUUGGGGAUGGACUCGCGGCUUAUCAGCUUGUUGGUGGGGUAGUGGCUUACCAAGGCUUUGACGGGUAGCCGGCCUGAGAGGGUGACCGGCCACAUUGGGACUGAGAUACGGCCCAGACGCCUACGGGAGGCAGCAGUGGGGAAUAUUGCACAAUGGGCGGAAGCCUGAUGCAGCAACGCCGCGUGCGGGAUGACGGCCUUCGGGUUGUAAACCGCUUUCGCCUGUGACGAAGCGUGAGUGACGGUAAUGGGUAAAGAAGUACCGGCUAACUACGUG
rnacentral:rRNA from 1 species